CGAAAACUCUGUUGUAAAGAAGAACAUUUCUGAGAGUAACUGUUCAGGUAUUGACGGUAUUUAACCAGAAAGCCACGGCUAACUACGUGCCAGCAGCCGCGGUAAUACGUAGGUGGCAAGCGUUGUCCGGAUUUAUUGGGCGUAAAGCGAGCGCAGGCGGUUUUUUAAGUCUGAUGUGAAAGCUUUCGGCUCAACCGAAGAAGUGCAUCGGAAACUGGGAAACUUGAGUGCAGAAGAGGACAGUGGAACUCCAUGUGUAGCGGUGAAAUGCGUAGAUAUAUGGAAGAACACCAGUGGCGAAGGCGGCUGUCUGGUCUGUAACUGACGCUGAGGCUCGAAAGUAUGGGUAGCAAACAGGAUUAGAUACCCUGGUAGUCCAUACCGUAAACGAUGAAUGCUAAGUGUUGGAGGGUUUCCGCCCUUCAGUGCUGCAGCUAACGCAUUAAGCAUUCCGCCUGGGGAGUACGGCCGCAAGGCUGAAACUCAAAGGAAUUGACGGGGGCCCGCACAAGCGGUGGAGCAUGUGGUUUAAUUAGAAGCUACGCGAAGAACCUUACCAGGUCUUGACAUACUAUGCAAAUCUAAGAGAUUAGACGUUCCCUUCGGGGACAUGGAUACAGGUGGUGCAUGGUUGUUGUCAGCUCGUGUCGUGAGAUGUUGGGUUAAGUCCCGCAACGAGCGCAACCCUUAUUAUCAGUUGCCAGCAUUAAGUUGGGCACUCUGGUGAGACUGCCGGUGACAAACCGGAGGAAGGUGGGGAUGACGUCAAAUCAUCAUGCCCCUUAUGACCUGGGCUACACACGUGCUACAAUGGAUGGUACAACGAGUUGCGAACUCGCGAGAGUAAGCUAAUCUCUUAAAGCCAUUCUCAGUUCGGAUUGUAGGCUGCAACUCGCCUACAUGAAGUCGGAAUCGCUAGUAAUCGCGGAUCAGCAUGCCGCGGUGAAUACGUUCCCGCGCCUUGUACACACCGCCCGUCACACCAUGAGAGUUUGUAACACCCAAAGUCGG
rnacentral:rRNA from 1 species